GCAUAUCAAUAAGCGGAGGAAAAGAAACCAACAGGGAUUGCCCCAGUAACGGCGAGUGAAGCGGCAACAGCUCAAAUUUGAAAUCUGGCCCCUAGGGCCCGAGUUGUAAUUUGCAGAGGAUGCUUUUGGCAAGGCGCCGCCCGAGUUCCCUGGAACGGGACGCCGCAGAGGGUGAGAGCCCCGUCUGGCUGGACGCCGAGCCUUUGUAAAGCUCCUUCGACGAGUCGAGUAGUUUGGGAAUGCUGCUCUAAAUGGGAGGUAUAUGUCUUCUAAAGCUAAAUAUUGGCCAGAGACCGAUAGCGCACAAGUAGAGUGAUCGAAAGAUGAAAAGCACUUUGAAAAGAGGGUUAAACAGUACGUGAAAUUGUUGAAAGGGAAGCGCUCAUGACCAGACUUGGGCUUGGCGGAUCAUCCGGCGUUCUCGCCGGUGCACUUCGCCUCGCCCAGGCCAGCAUCAGUUCGCCCCGGGGGACAAAAGCUUCGGGAAUGUGGCUCCUCCGGGAGUGUUAUAGCCCGUUGCACAAUACCCUGGGGCGGACUGAGGUUCGCGCGUCCGCAAGGAUGCUGGCGUAAUGGUCAUCAGCGACCCGUCUUGAAACACGGACCAAGGAGUCGUCCUCGUAUGCGAGUGUUCGGGUGUCAAACCCCUACGCGUAAUGAAAGUGAACGCAGGUGAGAGCUUCGGCGCAUCAUCGACCGAUCCUGAUGUUCUCGGAUGGAUUUGAGUAAGAGCAUACGGGGCCGGACCCGAAAGAAGGUGAACUAUGCCUGUAUAGGGUGAAGCCAGAGGAAACUCUGGUGGAGGCUCGCAGCGGUUCUGACGUGCAAAUCGAUCGUCAAAUAUGGGCAUGGGGGCGAAAGACUAAUCGAACCUUCUAGUAGCUGGUUUCCGCGA
rnacentral:rRNA from 1 species